rnacentral:lncRNA from 1 species
AUUCAUGGCCAUUAGAUGCUUUUCACCCUAAACAAAACAAAACAAAACAAAAAACUAAGCCUGGCAAGUUUGGAAAAUGAUUGCUGCCAACCUUUGUGCAAUUUUGCGAAGCUAUCUUAAGAAAUCGUAGAGACAUAUUGUGCUGUGAAGGUUUUCAGCCUGGUAUAGGAAGAAUGAGUGGAGGAGUCCCAAGGUUUGACUUUCCUCUUUUAUAGAGCUAUGUGGAACAUGCUUCCAGAUGUUGAUCUAAAUAAAACUGACUAUCUGUCUUGUUUUCGAAGCCACGUAUGAUUAGAUUUGGUAACACUGACAGCAUAAUCACAAUGUGUCCUAGUUCUGUGACAUCAUGUUUCUCAUGAGGGCACUUUUAAUUUUUGUUCUCUCAGAGCUUGGGAUAGGAGCUCUUCACAUUUGGUGGCCUUGCUUUGAUUUAUAUGGAAAUGUAUCUUUUUGAAGCUAUGAAGUUCUUCCUCUUCAGAAUCAUUAGCUGAACCCCACAGCCAGUUCUGUAAAACCCAGAGUAAAAUCAAUCCCAUUUUAGACAACUGGGCUUCAAUGUCUUGACCAAGGAUGAUCCCGCUUCUUGUCCAUCAAGCCCAAGCUCUUCAGGAUCUUCUUCAUCUGCAUUUCCUUGCCAGCCCAAAUACAGACUUAGUGCACAUUUGCCAGAAGGAAGGAAGGAGAAAAGGUCUCAAUAGGAAGAGGCUGUUGGAAACCCUACAGGAGCCUGCUACAGGGUUUUGUUGAGUCAGUCUCCUGGGGCAGCAGGAAAGCUAGCGAAGUGUACAGAGGGAUCUGCAGGGCCAAACAGAAGAUAUCCACACAGCUGGGCACUGCUGUCACCAUUAGCCCCUAUUGUCCCACUGCUUUACAAAUAAUCAAAGUUAAUUUUGGUCUAGCUAAAUAAUCUCCCCCCGGAAAUGGUGGGAUUUUCCCCCAUUAAUUUUAUUGGUACAUUUUAGGUAUACAGUACAUUUACAUUCAUCGUUGGGAACUUGUACCUUUACAUGAUGUAUCUUGGUUCUUAUUUUUUCCCCAUUCCCCUACCCUCCCUUCAACCCCUCCACUCUUCCCUAUUUAUGAAGACUUUGUUUCCAUUUUUUCCUUUCCCUUCAGGAAAUGGUGGGUUUUGGCCCAAAGCCCUCUGAUUUUGGGGCCCAUUGUUGGAACCUCUGUUUUUCUUUUUCUUUAAAAACAUUUUUUAUUGAUACAUGUUUGCCAUACAUAAUGAUCACAUUCAUCAUAGGGAAUCUGUACCUGCAUAUAAUGUAUCUUAAUUGGAAAUGACAUUACCAGGUCCAGUUUUCUCUCCCCCAGCUCAGAAAUGGCUUAAGCUGCACACUUUUUCAGUAGGCGCUUUGUCCCCUGCUUGAAUAUCUGCCUACAUGGGGACCAACUACAGUCUUGUGGUCACUUCUGUCUCCAUUGGGAGAAUCACUCUUAUGGCUGGAAAGUUCUCCUUUAGAUUAGACCAACCCUGUAGGUAACAUUCAUUCAUUUAAAAAUCAGUUUUUCAAAAGUAUAUAGAAAUAUGAAGGUAUAUCAUGUAAAUGUACAAAUUCCAAGUGAUGAAUGUCAUCAUAUUGUAUACAUAAA